UUCCACCUCUGGAGCCUUAGGAGGCUGUGUCCUGUGAGUGUCCCCACCAUGGCCUGGACGGUGCUCCUGCUCGGGCUCCUCACUUACAGCUCAGGUGUGGAUUCUCAGACUGUAGUCACCCAGGAGCCAUUACUGUCCGUAUCUCUAGGAGGGACAGUCACAUUCACCUGUGGCCUUAGCUCUGGGUCAGUCUCUAGUAGUCACUACCCCAAGUGGUUCCAGCAGACCCCAGGCCAGGCUCCCCACACACUCAUCUACAGCACAAACUACCGCCCCUCUGGGGUCCCUGAGCGCUUCACUGGAUCCAUCUCUGGGAACAAAGCCGCCCUCACCAUCACGGGGGCCCAGCCUGAGGACGAGGCCAAUUAUCACUGUGCUCUACAUUACAGCAGCCCUUAUAGCUGCACAGUGCUGCAGAGUCACAGGAAGUGA